UAACACAGAGUGACUUGUAACAUAACCAAACAUUUUGUUUUUUUAUUGUUGGUGUCUCAAAAUACCGUUCAGUUAAAAGUUGUUUACUGUUUAAAAGUUUUCUUUACAAAUCUAAUUAAUUGUACGUUGUGGUGUUGUGAUUUUUCGUAUGGUUUAGAUAAAGACAAUGAUUUGAAGUUUGUUGUUGUUAAUAACAUGUGUAUUUUAACUGCAAUACUCCGAAACUACUACAGAAUGUAUUUCCCAGGCCUGGCUGGUGGGUACCAGGGGGCUAGAAGAUACAAGGAGCCAUUACUUAGUUCGUUAGAAGAAGAUGAAUCAAGCGACAGUGUGGUUGAAGCUGAGCCCGGCUUUGUACGUUUGGAGAUAAUGAAUAAUGCCGCGAGAAUGCAUCCGUGAGGAUUUUGAUUAAAGGACAAGGCUCAUAACUUGCAAAAGCAAUGACUGAGGUGCUGAAGACUAUGGAGAAGAUGUCCAAAACAAUUUAGAAAUGGAAAAUGAUUGGCUGACUGACUAGUUUUCCACUAGGACUGACUCGGUCGAUGAAUUAUAUGCAAUAUUGACGAUCUAAGGAGACUCUUGGAGAAAGAAAUGAAUUGAUCUAUAUUAUAUUUUGAGUUUGAGUUUGA